UAAUUUAUUUUUUCACAAUUAUGUACAUUGUUCAAAUCUCCCGAAGCACCUUAGCGCCACCUGUUGACAGCCACAGGUCAAACAGAGACUUACAAAACCGGGCCAAGUUCAUCCAUCACGUUACGACGCUACAAACGUUUAUUUGCAAAUAUUCCCGUUUCGUCUGGAUCUCUGUAACUACUCGUAUUUGGACAAUACGAAAGCUUGUUAUGUGAGUGACCCAGCAGCAGUGCUAUGAGAGCUAGCAGCAUGCCGCUCCUUUAAUGACCUAUGAGAGCUGUGGACCCAGGCCAUACACGGGGAACCUGAGAACCUGCUGAGCAACUUCUGUUGAUCUAAGCCAGCUCACUCGAAUAAACCACAGUAUCGCUCACAGAGCAGGUGAGCUGCACCAAUUCACAGGAGUCCGCCAUAGACCUCCACAGCCUGAGAAACUUAACCUUCCAAUGAAAACCACAAUGUCCUGACCUAAAACAAGAGAUGUGAACAACAGCAAAUAAAACACUGGAUAUACUCGCAGGCUUAUAAAAGUAUCGAAACUCUGGAUUGUUCAGAAGAAUUUGGAGAACAACUGAUGGGACGUUGAGGAGAAUUCAUAUCAUCGCAAAACUCCGAAACUGCCUUCCAUUUAUGCCUGGGUGCCCCAUUGAUCGCUGCUGAAGGACAUCUUGACAAUUACGCAAGGGACGCCUUCAAGAGAACGAUUCAAAGCCGACUGCGACACAAUGAGGAUCUUGCGUGUUUUUUGGGGGAGGGGGGGCUACAAAGAAAAUUUCGCAGAUCAGUUUUGCAACCUGUUACUUUCGCCGCUGCUUUCUCAUUGGCGUCUCACACAGCCAGAUUUUUGGCUUCUAAAGGUCUUCUGCGCAAGGAAAAGCAGAUGCUUCUGAAUAUUCAAAAGGUGUGGUUUUAUGAAAAACGCCUACUCACACUUAUGUCACUUUUGAUCGCUGUUUAAAAGGUUAGUUUGCCCCAAAAUGAAAACUCCGUCAUUAAUUACUCACCCUCAUUUUGUUCCAAACCCCUAAGACAUUCGUUCAUCUCACAAAUUAAAAUAUUGUUGAUAAAAUCUGAGAGCUGUCUGACUCUCCAUAGACAGGUCCAGAAACAGGAACGUAAUCUGCGGUUGUUUACGCCUAGGGAAGAGCGCACGUAUGCCUUGUGAUACUCUCUAAAAUGGCAGAAGGCGUAACUCGGGAGAGAAGAAUGGUUGAGUAAAUUGUUAGUUUUUGUUUUCUUUGUAUUCAUGUAGUGUCGCAAAACUGAAGUUGCGCCACCGAUGUCACAUGCACUGUUUUAAAGAAGUAUUUAUUACGUUUCUGGGAUCAUUUCAGUUGUACUGAACUGCUAUGCAGGGUUAGAUAGCUCUCCGAUUUCAUCUAAUAUGUAUUCAUUUGUAUUCAGAAGAUGAACAAAGGUCUUACUGGUUUGGAAUGGCAUGAACUAGCCCUUUAAGUUUUCCAGGCGCAGUCCGCUCCGUCUUCAGAGUUAUCAGAGAAGCUGGACCUGGCCCAAUGUGUCAAAGUGACCCUAUUACAAUGACUGCGAGACUAGAUCCCUCUCGUGGCCUGCACUCACACCCGCCUGCCUCUCCACAGGAUGUAAAUGGCCGUUUAAAUGAAUUAAUGUAAGGUUUCUUUCAUACAUGCCCCAGUAAUAUUGAAGCCAUUACGGUCCUCUCCGGAGUUGGCAUGGUCAGAGCUUAGUGCUUAAUGUCUUCCACGUUGAGCUUAUUAAUCUAAACAGUGCGGCCCAGCUGCUCUGAAUCGGCCGUUCCUGAGCAGCGGCGGCGGUCUCGCAUCUGAACAGCUGCCAUGUGUGGCUGUGGAAAAGCUAACUGGCUUGUGUCAUUUUCUUCACUUAAUUCUGACCACUCUUGGUGAGUAGGUUUUCACAGGGGCCUUCAUUGAGACCGCUUCCAACUGUAAAGCCCCACUCGGAUACGCCGUUCCUCCCUGAGGUCUCGCCAAAAAAAAGAAACCACAGAGCCACUGAUUUACAUGGCUUUGACUCCCACUACCAACCACCUCAAACUGCUUUGGGCUGCGGAGCUGAGCCCGAACCGUUUAAAGCCUUAUAAAUGUGUUCGUGUAUUACAGGGAGAUGAUUAAUCAGAAAUGACUUGUUUAUGGAGUGUAUGACAAUGUGUUGAUUUUCAACACGGUCGUGACAUGUGGCGAACAUCAGCGCUGCUUUUCUCUGACUGUGCGAGUUGGAAAGAUCAUUUACGAGAGUGGACUGAAAUUACGGUUUGGCUGCUCUUGUGGCUUAUCAUUUUUAUUGUCAAAUUAAAAACAGUGAAACAUUUGAGCGCUGCUUGAUUCAAGCAGGGACGGGUUUAUGGUUGUCAAUGAGAUUGGUAAGUAGUUUUCUCCACUUCCUAAAGGUUUCGCAUCUUUUUAACCAACAGAUGAGUUGAUUAGAAAUUAUGAUUAGAGAUGGGGAAAGCCACAAACUGGAUUCGAUCUCUCAUUAAGUCCAUGUGCAAUAACCGCUAGGCCACAGCAUCGCCUCUUUUUUCUCUUAGAGAUGUAGUUAAAUUCUCCUAACAAAGAAACUCCUCUUUGGAUUCAUCCAAAACGUAUUAAAAAAAAAGUACAGGUUUUGGUAACUCUUUAUUUUACGGUUACACCUAUUAGUUGCUUAUUAGCAUGCAUAUUACCAGAAUGUUUAUUACACAUUUAUUAGUGCUAAUUAAGCAAAUAUUAAUGCCUUAUUCUACGUUACCUUAUUCUUCCCGAUUCCUUCUCAAUACCUAAACUGAACAACUACCUUACUAACUAUUAAUAAGCAUCAAAUGAAGAAUUUAUUGAGUGCUACCUAUUCUAAAGAGUUACCAGUUUUUACCUUAUUUUAAAGUGUUAUCGAAAAAAAAUAAUAAAACAAAAUACAAAAAGCCCAUAAAGAUUCAUACACGUUUCUAAUUCAUAUUGCAUCUUAUUCUUAUUGCAUCCACCAUGAAUAUGAGUGUGAGAGAUAUACUGUAUAAAACAACAAACCACAGUUCACAUGGUUUAUAGUUAGAGGUUGAAAUCUCAGCAAGUAAAGCUGCAUCUUUGAUAUUGAUUGAAAGAUACAAAAUGCACUGCAUUUUACCUUGCUUUGUCUAUUCAAGUCCACGUCAUACUAACAAGGAACUUAUGUUCUCCGUUGGUUUACAAUUACAUUAUGUUUGCAAUGUGUUACACA